AGACGUAGGGGGCAAGCGUUGUCCGGAAUUACUGGACGUAAAGGGCGAGUAGGCGGUCUUACCAGUCAGAUGUGAAAGGCGAGGGCUCAACCCUCGGACUGCAUUUGAAACUGUAAGACUUGAGUGCGGUAGAGGAAAGUGGAAUUCCCAGUGUAGCGGUGAAAUGCGUAGAUAUUGGGAGGAACACCAGUGGCGAAGGCGACUUUCUGGGCCGUAACUGACGCUGAGGCGCGAAAGCGUGGGGAGC
rnacentral:rRNA from 1 species